GAGGAACUACUGUCUUCACGCAGAAAGCGUCUAGCCAUGGCGUUAGUAUGAGUGUCGAACAGCCUCCAGGACCCCCCCUCCCGGGAGAGCCAUAGUGGUCUGCGGAACCGGUGAGUACACCGGAAUUGCCGGGACGACCGGGUCCUUUCUUGGAUAAACCCGCUCAAUGCCCGGAGAUUUGGGCGUGCCCCCGCGAGACUGCUAGCCGAGUAGUGUUGGGUCGCGAAAGGCCUUGUGGUACUGCCUGAUAGGGUGCUUGCGAGUGCCCCGGGAGGU
rnacentral:other from 1 species